rnacentral:rRNA from 1 species
UACGGAGGAUGCAAGCGUUAUCCGGAAUUAUUGGGCGUAAAGCGUCCGUAGGUGGCCGUUCAAGUCUGCCGUUAAAACCAGUAGCUUAACUACUGACAGGCGGUGGAAACUGAACAGCUAGAGUGUGGUAGGGGUAGAGGGAAUUCCCAGUGUAGCGGUGAAAUGCGUAGAGAUUGGGAAGAACACCGGUGGCGAAAGCGCUCUGCUGGACCACAACUGACACUCACAGGACGAAAGCUAGGGGAGCGAAAGGG